UACGUAGGUGGCGAGCGUUGUCCGGAUUUACUGGGCGUAAAGGGCUUGUAGGCGGUCCGUUAAGUCCGAUGUGAAAUCUCCCGGCUCAACUGGGAGAGGUCAUUGGAUACUGGCGGACUAGAGGGGGGUAGAGGAAAGCAGAAUUCCUGGUGUAGCGGUGAAAUGCGUAGAUAUCAGGAGGAACACCGGUGGCGAAGGCGGCGUUCUGGACUGCAACUGACACUGAGGAACGAAAGCCAGGGGAGCAAACGGG
rnacentral:rRNA from 1 species